rnacentral:rRNA from 1 species
UACGUAGGGGGCGAGCGUUGUCCGAAUUCACUGGGCGUAAAGCGCGUGUAGGCGGCCCUUUAAGUGGAGUGUGAAAUCCUGCAGCUCAACUGCAGAACUGCACUUCAAACUGGAGGGCUUGAGUGUGGGAGAGGAAAGUGGAAUUCCUGGUGUAGCGGUGAAAUGCGUAGAUAUCAGGAGGAACACCCGUGGCGAAGGCGGCUUUCUGGCCCACCACUGACGCUGAGACGCGAAAGCUAGGGGAGCGAACGGG